UACGUAGGGUGCGAGCGUUAAUCGGAAUUACUGGGCGUAAAGCGUGCGCAGGCGGCUUUGCAAGACAGAUGUGAAAUCCCCGGGCUCAACCUGGGAACUGCAUUUGUGACUGCAAGGCUAGAGUACGGCAGAGGGGGAUGGCAUUCCGCGUGUAGCAGUGAAAUGCGUAGAUAUGCGGAGGAACACCAAUGGCGAAGGCAAUCCCCUGGGCCUGUACUGACGCUCAUGCACGAAAGCGUGGGGAGCAAACAGG
rnacentral:rRNA from 1 species